rnacentral:rRNA from 1 species
UACGAAGGGGGCUAGCGUUGUUCGGAAUUACUGGGCGUAAAGCGUGUGUAGGCGGCUCUGCAAGUCGGAUGUGAAAGCCCCGGGCUCAACCUGGGAAGUGCACUCGAAACUGCUGAGCUUGAGUAUCGGAGAGGUCGGUGGAAUUCUCGGUGGAGAGGUGAAAUUCGUAGAUAUUCGGAAGAACACCAGUGGCGAAGGCGACUCGCUGGACAAGUAUUGACGCUGAGGUGCGAAAGCGUGGGGAGCAAACAGG